GCAGCGUCAAUAGAUCUGGAUCGCUCUAGCAACGGACGCUCCUUCGACAAGCGUUGCAUAUUGAUGGGCUGAAGAGUUGAGAUUUACCUCAAAAUUAAAUUAAACGAAUAGAAUCACAUGCAUACAAAUAUUUUAUGCAUACGAAAAUCCUUUAAAAUAAAAAGCAAAGUUUUUGUAAAGAUUCAACUCUUCAACCCGUCAAUAUGCACCGCAUGUGAAAGGAACGUCCGUUGCUAGAGCGAUCCAGAUCUAUUGACGCUGC
rnacentral:pre_miRNA from 1 species